rnacentral:misc_RNA from 1 species
UCCCCGUUAUCCGAGGCGGUUUCGCUAGAGUGCCCGACUUGACUCGCUGGCAACUAACGAUAAGGGUUGCGCUCGUUGCGGGACUUAACCCAACAUCUCACGACACGAGCUGACGACAGCCAUGCAGCACCUAAGCAGCAGCCCCUUGCGGGGAAGGUGGCUUUCACCACCGGUCUCCUGCUCUUCAAACCCAGGUAAGGUUCUUCGCGUUGCAUCGAAUUGAACCACAUGCUCCA